CUGCAACCCGCCUGCAUGAAGUCGGAAUUGCUAGUAAUCGCGGAUCAGCAUGCCGCGGUGAAUACGUUCCCGGGCCUUGUACACACCGCCCGUCACACCAUGGGAGCCGGUAAUACCCGAAGUCAGUAGUCCAACCUCGUGAGGACGCUGCCGAAGGUAGGAUUGGCGACUGGGGUGAAGUCGUAACAAGGUAAC
rnacentral:rRNA from 1 species